GAACGUUGGCUGUGUGCNAAGGUAUGCAAGUCGAACGAACCCUUUUGAAUUACUUGAAACUUCGGUUGAUUGUUUUUCUUUUUUGGGUUAGUGGCAAACGGGUGAGUAACACGUGGAUAACCUGCCUUGAAGUCAUGAACAGCUCAUCGAAAGAUGGGAUAAUACAUGAUAGUCUUACAUCUUCUUUAGAUCUUGUAAGUAAAGUUACGGCGCUUCAAGAGGGGUCCGCGUCCUAUCAGCUAGUUGGUGAGGUAAUAGCUCACCAAGGCUAAGACGGGUAGCUGGCGUGAGAGCGCGGUCAGCCACCAUGGAACUGAGACACGGUCCAUACUCCUACGGGAGGCAGCAAUUAGGAAUCUUGCGCAAUGGGGGCAACCCUGACGCAGCGACACAGCGUGGAGGAAGAAGGUCUUCGGAUUGUAAACUCCUUUUAUAUGGGAAGAAUAGAUGACGGUACCAUAUGAAUAAGCACCUGCUAACUACGUGCCAGAAGCAUCGGUAAUGCGUAGGGUGCAAACGUUAUCCGGAUUUAUUGGGUGUAUAGAGAUGCGUAGGCGUUUUUGUAAGUCUUUAGUUAAAGACCACGGCUCAACCGUGGAAGAGCUUCGGAUACUGCAAAAAUUGAGACAGGAAGAGGCGAACAGAAUUUCCAGUGGAGCGGUGAAAUGCGUUGAUACUGGGAGGAAUAUCAGUGGCGAAGGCGGUUCGCUGGUCCUUGUCUGACGCUAAGGCUCGAAAGCGUGGGUAGCAAAACGGAUUAGAUACCCGUGUAGUCCACGCUGUAAACUAUGGAUGCUAGGUGUUCGGUAUAACUGUUUUUUCCUUCGGGAAAAAAUGGAAGUAUUGAGUGCCGCAGUUAACACGUUAAGCAUCCCACCUGGGAAGUANG
rnacentral:rRNA from 1 species